rnacentral:rRNA from 1 species
UACGUAGGGGGCAAGCGUUGUCCGGAUUUAUUGGGCGUAAAGAGCGUGUAGGCGGCCUGAAAGGUCAGCUGUGAAAACUCGAGGCUCAACCUCGAGACGUCGGUUGAAACCGUUUGGCUAGAGUCCGGAAGAGGAGAGUGGAAUUCCCGGUGUAGCGGUGAAAUGCGUAGAUAUCAGGAGGAACACCUGUGGUGUAGACAGCUUACUGGACCAUUUCUGACGCUGAGACACGAAAGCGUGGGUAGCAAACAGG